rnacentral:rRNA from 1 species
ACAUGGGACUCGGUAUGGAACUUAGUCUGCCCAGCAAAGAUAAAAAUAUUUAUGUGGCGCGCGCUCGAGAGUGCUAUUCCCUGUCGAUCUAUCCUGGCUAAUAAGCACAUGAAAAUAAAUCCGAGUUGCCCAGCCUGUAACUAGGGGCCUGAUGACAUAAGACAUAUGUUGUUUGAAUGCAAAUUGGCAAUGGACGUGUGGAAGAUGCUCGGUCUUGAGCUUGUUAUCAAACAGGCACUGAAAGUUGACAAGGCGGGUGAGCUUGUGUUGGCACAUCUUUUGUGCCUUCCAAAACAACAAAUCCAAGUGUUGGGAUUGCCGAAGUUCAGAGAAACGAUGGCAACGACGGCUUGGUAUUUGUGGUAUGAAAGGCGAAAAUUGACACAUGACGAAGAAACUCAAAGCGCAUGUCAAAUCAAUAUGUCAGUGAGAGGCUUAGUAGCAAAUUAUACCAUCUCUUACCCAAAGGCUCACGUCCGUUCAGAUGUUUGGUUGGAACCAAAGUAUGGUUACGUGAAAUUAAACGUUGACGCGGGAUUUGAUAGUGACACACUCGCAGCAACAUUUGGAGCAGUUAUCCAGGACCAUAGGGGGGAAUUUAUAGCGGCUGCUAAUGAAAAGAUGGACCUUUGCUUCGACUCGUUCACAGCAGAAGCAAUUGCUGUGAGGUUUGGUUUGAAUCUUGCUAGUGCCAUCGGAUGCAGUAAGAUUGAAGUGAAUUCGGAUAGCGUGGAGGUGGUGAAUGCGUUGAGCCAAGACUACUCUUCUUCAGUCUCUUCAUCCAUUAUAGAUGACUGCUAUUUCAUGUCAUUAGGUUUUUCCCAUGUCAUUUAUGAUCAUCGUAAUAGGAAACGUAAUCGAGUAGCUCAUGAACUAGUAAGGGCCUGUUUGGUUCCAAAUAAGUCACCAACUUAUAAGUCGAAAAGUGAAAAAAGUGAUUUAUUUUGCCAAACAGACCCAACUUAUAAGUCACCCCAACUUAUAAGUCAUAAGUUGCUCCACCUCAACUUAAAACUUAUAAGUCACCCCCUUUUGCGUGGGGCCCAUAACUUGCAUGAUGUUGAUUGGUGUGGGAAAGUGUGUCAGGUGACUUAUAAGUCAGGUGACAGCCAAACAGGCGUGACUUAUAAGUCACUGGUUUUAAGUCACCUGACUUAUAAGUCAGGUGACUUAUUGGAACCAAACGGGCCCUAA